UGCAGUUUUGGCAGCCAAAUAUGUGUCCUCCUGCCACAACCUGAGGGACAGCCAGUGAAAAGUGCAAAGUAAUGUGGAUAAUAUUUCCCAUCUUGUUUUGUUUUGUCUUUCAUACCAGGUCAUGUGUUUUCUCAGUCAUGUUGACACUGGUCUACUACCAGGUCAUGUGUCUUCUCAGUCAUGUUGACACUGGUCUACUACCAGGUCAUGUGUCUUCUCAGUCAUGUUGACACUGGUCUACUACUAGGUCAUGUGUCUUCUCAGUCAUGUUGACACUGGUCUACUACCAGGUCAUGUGUCUUCUCAGUCAUGUUGACACUGGUCUACUACCAGGUCAUGUGUCUUCUCAGUCAUGUUGACACUGGUCUACUACCAGGUCAUGUGUCUUCUCAGUCAUGUUGACACUGGUCUACUACCAGGUCAUGUGUCUUCUCAGUCAUGUUGACACUGGUCUACUACUAGGUCAUGUGUCUUCUCAGUCAUGUUGACACUGGUCUACUACCAGGUCAUGUGUCUUCUCAGUCAUGUUGACACUGGUCUACUACCAGGUCAUGUGUCUUCUCAGUCAUGUUGACACUGGUCUACUACUAGGUCAUGUGUCUUCUCAGUCAUGUUGACACUGGUCUACUACCAGGUCAUGUGUCUUCUCAGUCAUGUUGACACUGGUCUACUACCAGGUCAUGUAUCUUCUCAGUCAUGUUGAUACUGGUCUACUACCAUGUCAUGUGUCUUCUCAGUCAUGUUGACACUGGUCCACUAC